UACGGGGGGUGCAAGCGUUAUCCGGAUUCACUGGGUUUAAAGGGUGCGUAGGUGGGCAGGUAAGUCAGUGGUGAAAUCUCCGGGCUUAACCCGGAACUGCCGUUGAUACUAUUUGUCUUGAAUAUUGUGGAGGUAAGCGGAAUAUGUCAUGUAGCGGUGAAAUGCUUAGAUAUGACAUAGAACACCAAUUGCGAAGGCAGCUUACUACACAACGAUUGACGCUGAGGCACGAAAGCGUGGGGAUCAAACAGGA
rnacentral:rRNA from 1 species